rnacentral:lncRNA from 1 species
AGCAGAACAGACAUUUCGUGUAGGAUGUGUUCUGUUUUCAUCACAAUAUUUUGAAAGAAUAAACCAUGAAACUUAAGGAAAGAAUAUGGAACAACACAUAAUGCAACAUGGAAAAGCUUUCAUAGCUCUCCUCAGUGCUCAGAGAUCUCUCUUUAGAAAACUUGCAGUCCAGAAGAGUACCUAUGUGCUGCAGUAGCUCUACUAGACCAGCAUCCACUUUAAGUGAUGAAAAUCCACAGGAACAUGUGUCUCUUGGCCAAGCAUUCCGGGAGCCAGAGUGCUGAUUGGACCCAGCUGAGGUGAAGUCCCUCCACAGGCCCUGAUUCAAGCCUAAUUGCAACCUUCAAGCCACAGUUGCCCAUGAGGCAGAACACAAACAGCACAGCUGUGUACAGUGCUGUCUGUAUCGGCAGAAACAACACAGCAACUGGAUCCAGAUCUGAUAUGCUGCAGUGACCUACAUGUGACACACAGCUCUUUCAGAGGGUAUCCUGUAUACAACCGAGCAAUUUCCCUGACCAGAUCUUUGGAUGGUUCCAGAAUGAUUUUCUGGAAACACUCUUUCACAUUUUUACUUAGGGAUAUCAUACAGGCCAAAAACGUUUGUUGGCUUUUUAAUAAAAAGG